CAAUAGCGUAUAUUAAAGUUGUUGCGGUUAAAAAGCUCGUAGUUGGAUUUCUGCUGAGGACGACCGGUCCGCCCUCUGGGUGAGUAUCUGGCUCGGCCUUGGCAUCUUCUUGGGGAACGUAACUGCACUUGACUGUGUGGUGCGGUAUCCAGGACUUUUACUUUGAGGAAAUUAGAGUGUUUCAAGCAGGCGCACGCCUUGAAUACAUUAGCAUGGAAUAAUAAGAUAGGACCUUGGUUCUAUUUUGUUGGUUCUAGAGCUGAGGUAAUGAUUAAUAGGGAUAGUUGGGGGCAUUAGUAUUUAAUUGUCAGAGGUGGAAUUCUCAGAUUUGUUAAAGACUAACUUAUGCGAAAGCAUUUGCCAAGGAUGUUUUCAUUGAUCAAGAACGAAAGUUAGGGGAUCGAAGAUGAUUAGAU
rnacentral:rRNA from 1 species